GUAGGGAAUAUUGGGCAAUGGAUGCAAGUCUGACCCAGCCAUCCCGCGUGCCGGAAGAAGGCCCUCAGGGUUGUAAACGGCUUUUGACGGUGAAGAAUCGACAGGAUGCGUCCUGUUUUGACGGUAGCCGUUGAAUAAGCACCGGCUAACUCCGUGCCAGCAGCCGCGGUAAUACGGAGGGUGCGAGCGUUGUCCGGAUUUAUUGGGUUUAAAGGGUGCGUAGGCUGGAAGGUCAGUCAGCGGUGAAAAGCUGUCGCUUAACGAUAGUCUUGCCGCAGAUACUUCCUUUCUUGGAUGAGGAGGAGGCCACUGGAACGGAUGGUGUAGCGGUGAAAUGCAUAGAUAUCAUCCAGAACACCGAUUGCGAAGGCAGGUGGCUGUACCUUAAUCGACGCUGAUGCACGAAAGCAUGGGGAUCAAACAGGAUUAGAAACCCGUGUAGUCC
rnacentral:rRNA from 1 species